UGAAGCUGGAAUCGCUAGUAAUCGCAGAUCAGAAUGCUGCGGUGAAUACGUUCCCGGGUCUUGUACACACCGCCCGUCACACCAUGGGAGUUGGAAAUGCCCGAAGCCAGUGACCCAACCGUAACGGAGGGAGCUGUCGAAGGUGGAGCCGAUGACUGGGGUGAAGUCGUAACAAGGUAUC
rnacentral:rRNA from 1 species